GUGGGAGUAGCUCAACCGGCAGAGCACCGGACUGUGGCUCCGGAUGUUGCGGGUUCGAUUCCCGUCUCCCACCCCA
rnacentral:tRNA from 1 species